CAGCAGCCGCGGUAAUACGAAGGGUGCAAGCGUUAAUCGGGAUUACUGGGCGUAAAGCGUGCGUAGGCGGUGAGUUAAGUCUGCUGUGAAAUCCCCGGGCUCAACCUGGGAAUGGCAGUGGAUACUGGCUCGCUAGAGUGUGUCAGAGGAUGGUGGAAUUCCCGGUGUAGCGGUGAAAUGCGUAGAGAUCGGGAGGAACAUCAGUGGCGAAGGCGGCCAUCUGGGACAACACUGACGCUGAGGCACGAAAGCGUGGGGAGCAAACAGGAUUAGAUACCCCCGUAGUCCCUGUCUCUUAUAC
rnacentral:rRNA from 1 species